UUGUAGGGAACUGAAAGGGACCGACCUUCGGGAGCCUAUACAGGUGUUGCAUGGCUGUCGUCAGCUCGUGUCGUGAGAUGUUCGGUUAAGUCCGCUAACGAGCGCAACCCUCGUCGUAUGUUAUAUGUGUCAUACGAGACUGCCGGUAAAAAGCCGGAGGAAGGUGAGGAUGAUGUCAAGUCAGCAUGACCUUUAUAUCCAGGGCUACACACACGCUACAAUGGUCUGUACAAUGGGUAGCCAAGCCGCGAGGCGGAGCCAAUCCUGAAAGCAGGCCUCAGUUCAGAUUGUAGGCUGAAACUGCCUGCAUGAAGUUGGAGUUGCUAGUAGCCGCAGGUCAGCACACUGCGGUGAAUACGUUCUCGGGCCUU
rnacentral:rRNA from 1 species